UUCUCCGCACGGUUAUCAAGCCCAACCGGUGUGCCAUAACAGUCGGGUUCUAUAGAUGAGUACAUUGAAGUUGAAGAGAAACUGCUGGCCUAAAAACCAAAACCUUGGACUUUGUGCAUGCUGCUAGUCUCCCCUAUGCAAUUGGGACCAUGUAUAAUGGUCUAGAGCGAGCCAGUUUCUCAAAAGGUUUACUAUGCUGCUGAUUGUUCAUGGGGCUGGUAUGUGUUAUUGUUGGACACAUACAUCGCUUGCAAGCAUACUUGCUAGCAAUAACCCAACUUCUACUGUUGCAUAGAAUUAAACCCCAGCAGCACUAGUUCCAGCAAAGGUAAACAAGGCUUGAUCUAUCUUGUUUAUCUAUUGUCGAUGUGGCAUUGAGUCAGACAAGGAGCAAGAACAAGAAAGAAGCGUGAAACAGUUUUUAGUUUGUGUAUUGUCAUUUCCCUUUGCAACUUUUGUAGAUAGCUUUUGAUUACAAGUUUGUGUUUAAGUAUUUAAAUUGAAAACGUAUGUAUGGAUUUGGGUUUAUUAUUGUUAAUACUAUUUGGUUUUAGG
rnacentral:lncRNA from 1 species